rnacentral:tRNA from 1 species
GCGAGCGUGGCGGAACUGGCAGACGCGCAAGGUUUAGGUCCUUGUGUCCCUCGGGACGUGGAGGUUCGACUCCUCUCGCUCGCA